rnacentral:lncRNA from 1 species
CUCACAUUUAAAUUUGGAGCCGGUGAGUACACGAUUAGUAACCAAAUCAGUGUAAACUUUAAUUGAUUUAUCCGAAUAAGCUAAAUUAUUUUAAGUGAUCUUCUAUAUGAAUGGAAGCAAGCGUAUUGCUUCUUCAGGUGUGAUUUGCACCGAGCAAUCACUAAUUCGAUUGUCAAGACCUGAUAUUAACUGGAACUCAAUAACUAUUUUGCCUUAUUUGACAAGCUGUAAACAAAGCUGGGAAUCAAACAAGACCGCUAAUACUCAUUCAUUACCUUUUCAUUUAGAGAAUAAUAUGCCCGAUCGCUUUGACCUCAAACCAAAUCAAUGUAUUCUACCUCUAUUAAUAGGAUGGGAACCAACCAAAAUCAUGUUUCUAAAUUCAAAUGUGACUUAUUGACAAAACUAGUACUACUUAAGUCUCUCCCUUAUUAUCAAUGCUUUCAUAAUUCCAAAAUAAAGGAGAAUCCAACAGUCCAAAUUAUACAAGCCAAGGAUUACAAAUCGAUAGUGUACUUAAACAAACACGAGACAACCAUUAUCUAUUCUACAAUAACAACUCAGGCACAUAUUUUUCAAGAGAUAAAUGUUUCAUUUCAUUGCACAGCUUCAUCAAAACAUGCUUCAAAUGUGUACCUAAAAAUUGAAAUUUUCAACAGAAGAAGGAGAUCAGAACAGCAAUACAAUAGCAGUCAACAACAGUUCACAUCAGCAAUUCAAAUGAAGUUCAAAGCCCAAAAAAGUUUGAAAACCCAGCAGGAUCAACAGAACAACAAAUGUAAGAACACCAAAUCAAACGAGAAAACCAACCAAACUAGCUUGACUAACACCAAAUGUACUUGAAGAUGCACCAAACUACUUCAGUGAACCCAAACUCAACUAAAACUAUAAAAUGUGAAGAGAAUAACUGGAAAUCAGAAUCAACCUACAAUUACUCAAUGAAACAAUAGGUUCAUUUGGAUUUUCGAUAAUUUUUCUAUUUUUUUGGGUUUUCUUUGAAGACAACUCAGAUCAGUUUUUUCAAGACUCUCUAUCUCUGUGUGUUCAAGCUCUAAAGCUUUAAAAAACCGAUCUCAAAUUCUGCCUGAAGAACUGACUAAACUUAGUAUGUUCUUUCAAACUCUCCAACUCCUAAAAACUUAUUCCUCAAAAAAUAAAACCCCUUACUCUGCCCAAUUCUCCCUCUAUUUAUAUCCAAACUAAAGCCCUCUUCCAGCUCUUAAGAGCACUCACUUAUUAAGAAAAUGAACCCCUCCCAUCAAUAUUCCGUGAAUACCCCACUACUAAGUGUCCUAUUCUAUUUUUUAAUUCAAUUGUUCCCCACUAACAUAUGUCUUCCCUUAUUAAAUUCAAGCAGGUAUGGGCAGCCAUUUCUAAAUAUAGGCAUGCCCUGACAGUCCACGUUCUUCCUGAUUCUUUCCAACCCAUUCUUUAUUAAAUAAUGUCAUUAGUUUAAUAGUUCACUAGCAUUCAUAUGAACAAACCACUUAAACUGAGCAAGUUCACUUAAACUAACACUCUUUAAUGUGCAAUCUAGCAAUCAGAUAACAUACAAAUAAUCAGCUAAAAUUUUAGAGGUUAACUAAUAUGAUUUUCGGCUAAAAGGAUAGUCAUGCUAAAAUCGAAAUAAACAAUUGAUCAAAAGAAAUAAUUAAGCACAUUGAACGACAUAUGAACCAAAAAUUAACAGAACAAUAAUCAAAAUAGGCUUCAAACUUAAGACAAACCUUUGGGAAAUUUCAAACUAGCAUAAAAAGAAAGUAGAAGAGAAAUUUCAAAAAAAAAAUGACAACUAAAACAAACUGGAAAGGCAUAGAACUUACCCAUCAAAUUUGAACUCAGGAUCGAAUUCUCCGAAUUCCUCCAAUUUUCGGUCCAUUUCGACCUUAUUUGUGUGUUCUUAGCAAAACAAACGAAUAAAGUACAAAUACACCUAAUCCACUUAUAUGGAUUCCAACAACAACAACAACAACAACAACAACAACUACCCAAUAUAUUCCCACAAAGUGGGGUCUGGGAAGGAUAAUAUGUAGACGAGCCUUACCCCUACCCGAAAGGGCAGAGGGGCUGUUUCCAAUCGACCCUCGGCGUAUAGGAUAAAAAAGGAAAAGCUGUAUUAAGAAACAAAGGUAAAAUUAGAAACACAGGCAUGACAAAACAAAAUAAUAAAGCAUAAGUACUCCCGCAAAAAUAACGUAAAUAAUUAUGAAAACAUAAGCAACAUAAAUACAGUCGCAUGCAAUAAUAAGAAAAAGAAAAAGAAAAAGAAAAAGAUUCCAUUUCCCUAUUUUUGGGAUUUUAGGGUUUUCUUCUAAUCUAAUAUUCGAUAACGUAGGCCUAUAUUCGAGGGAGACUAGGCAUGAAUUUGGGGUGAGGGAGUCAAGUAGGUUACUGGAUGUUAGUUCGGGGCUUUUUGGAGGUGGUGCCACCAUCAGAAACUUUCAGGCGGCGCUAGGGUGGGUUUUGAUAAUUCGAGAAGAUGGGCUAAGAUUCGACGGAAGUGGAGUGUGGAUUUGGAGAGAAGAGGUCUCAAGGCUUGCGGGGUGUAUUUUUGGUAGGGUUUGGACAACCGGAACCUCCGUGAGGUGCUUUCCAGUGGGUAGGGGCGACGGAGGGAUUUUGGGGUCUCUGAAGGUUAGAGAUGAACUGAAUGGGGAGGGAUUUGGUUUUGGGGGAUAGGGUAUUUGAUUUAGGUAUAUUAAAAUUAAAUUAAUUAAUCUGGGUCGUUGGAUGUUGGGAUCCAAGGGCCUUGAUUUAUUCAUUUAAAUGAAACGGGGUCGUUUGGAUUCACGGUGGGGCU